rnacentral:rRNA from 1 species
AGUGAACGCUGGCGGUAGGCCUAACACAUGCAAGUCGAACGGCAGCACAGUAAGAGCUUGCUCUUACGGGUGGCGAGUGGCGGACGGGUGAGGAAUACAUCGGAAUCUACUUUUUCUUGGGGGAUAACGUAGGUAACCUUACGCUAAUAACGCAAAUGCCCUACGAGUGUAAGCAAGCGAUUUUCGGACUUUGCGCGAUUCUAUCAGCCUAUGUUGGACUUGCUUGUUGGCGGGGUAAUGGCCCACCAAGACCUCGCUAGGUAACUGCUCUGAGAGGAUAUUCAGACACACUGGAACUGAGACACGGACCGCACUCCUGCGGGAGGGAGCAGUGGGAAAUAUUGGACAAUGGGAGCAAGCCUGAUCCAGCCAUACCGCGUGGGUGAAGAAGGCCUUCGGGUUGUAAAGCCCUUUUGUUGGGAAAGAAAAGCAGCAGUUUAAUACCCCGCUGUUCUGACGGUACCCAAAGAAUAAGCACCGGCUAACUUCGUG